GCGUGGAUUACUAGACUGUGCAUGCAGCUCCAAACCCGACUGCAGCUCCCUGCCUCUUACGUGCAGGACAGGGCUACUCUCACCCGCGCUUUCCCAGCGAGGGGAAAAAUCCCUGCUCUGUGCAAGCCACUGCAAUUCCCUCUCCCCCCUUCGGGACGUGAUGCUGACAAGCCCCUCCGUUUCCAAGAAGCCGAGAGGAAUACUGAGGCUGUGAGCCCGCUAUCCUGGAGCCCUGCUGCAGCAAGAUUACAAUUGCCUUUAAAAAAAAAAUGAAGAUGCUUGAACGACUCCUGCCAAGAGUACAGAGCAAAUCUCAGUGGCAAUGGCAUUGCUAAAACUUGAUCAUGGGGGAUUUUAAGCGAUAAAGAGCUGCUGGGCUUGUAUUUACUGCAGUGGGAAGAAGUUGCAGGAUGAAAUCAAGGGAUUAAGAGGUCUAUUUUCCACUUCGUUGUUUGCAGAGGAAUCUACUGAAAUGACUUGGAGGAUCUUAAGACUGGAACUAUGUGGAGGGAGAAUGCAACCCCCUUUCCAUAUCCUCCUGCUCGCAUAGCUGCCCCCCUUGGAUGCGAUGGGGACUGCAAGCUGCAGCCAGCAUCAUGCGUUUGGAAAGGAGGAUGGCGGCACCCUCUAACCCGUGGAGUUGAGGACUGCGAGAUGCCAAAGUUUGCAACAUGCCAAGCAGCAGCAACUCCGUCGUGUGACAUUUCUGGGGAUAAACCUGGCAAAGAUGGGGAAACUUGGCUAUGCUCUCCUGGUACUCCAAGCUCUACUGGUGCAAUUGGAUCUUGUUUGCGGAGCAGAGAAAAGUUAUCCCAUCCUGAACAUUGCAGUGAUUCUGGGAAGGACGAAGUAUAUCACGGAGAGAGACAUCCGAGCUCUCUGGACCAGGGAAAUGUCAGCAGACCUGGCCAUUGAUGUCAAUGUAGUGACCCUUCUGGUGAACCAGACUGACCCUAAAAGCAUUAUAACACAUGUUUGCGACUUGAUGUCAGGCACCAAGAUCCAUGGGGUGGUUUUUGGAGAUGAUACUGAUCAGGAGGCGAUAGCCCAGAUUUUGGAUUUUAUUUCAUCUCAGACCUUUAUUCCAAUUCUUGGAAUUCAUGGUGGGUCCUCCAUGAUAAUGGCAGACAAGGUAGGAAAAUUGUUGUUUUGAAGCUUUUGUUGCAUUAACAUAAUGUUGCUGCAUAUUACCUACAUUACAUGUGCACUGCAAACAGUUCAAAGGCGAAUGCCUCUAAUGGCUUUUAUUGUGCUGUUUAAAAGCAAAAACUAUAUGGAGCAGCUUCCUACUGAAUUAUUGUAUACUCUGAAAGAUUUCUCUGCAUCGUGUCAAUAACAUUUAUAUUUUUCCAGAAUGAAAGUUAUUUUGGUGAAUAUUGCUUUACUGCCAAAUUGAAUUUUCAUCAGCCUAGAGGUACUGCAUGUGAUUUGCACGUAAGAUUAUAUGACAAUUGGCUUUUUAAGACUACUUAUGCCAGUAAAAUAUUUUGCCCCACUUUGCAUCAUGAAGAAAAAUGUUUAAUGUUGUUAGCACACUUCAGAAACAAGUGCGGCACUCGAGGAGAUCACAUGUAUUGAACGUGAAUGAAUUUGAGUAGUAGGACUUAGAGGUUUUAUAAGAGCACAGACAUUUAGGUUAGACUUGAUUUUUCUGUUUGUAGCCUAGUGUGGAUGACAGCAGUCUUGCAUACUAAACAGAUAUUUAUUUUUGUUAUAACUAUUUGGUGAGAAACCAUGUGUUACUGUUAAAUCCCCAUAAAGUCAGCAUGAAGUUAAGGUGUGCAGUUGGCUUGUCUAUAUAUUCUAGAUAUAAUAUGAACUGAUGUUUGUGAGGAAAAUAGUUUUUUCUGCAUAAUCCACAAUUGAAUGGCAGACAAAAAUCUGAUAAUUACAUGCAGCACACCUGCCUGCAGCAUUUUUAAUUUUUUUUGAAACUUUGGGGACAGUUGUAGGCAAAGUCCUACAGAAUACUCAGUGCUCCACCUUGGCACUUUGCAUGAUUAAGCCCUCUGCCACAGCCACCUUCUUUUCAGAAUGAUGGGUAAAACAGUUUCUUGUUGAUGUGGAAGAGCUCUUAAAGAACCUUGUUUGUCACUUUAUGUACAGAAGCGAGGAUAAUUCAACAAGGCAUUUACUGACUGGAGAGUCACUUAGCUUUUCAAAGACAUUAUCUUUCAGCACAUCAAGUCCUAAAACUUUUUAUCAAAGCACAAAUAUUACCAAAAAAUGAGGAAUCAUUAUUAUUCCAUCAUGGAUGACUUUUCUGAAUUAAAAUAGGGGUUAUGUCCUAUUGGGUAUUCAAGAAUUCUCUGUUACAAUUGAAAAAUAGAAGGCGAGAUGACAUAAUUCAUUGGUUAUGACAAAUGAAUCAGGAAUGCUUCUGCACUUUGAAUCAUCCCCAUUUCCAUCUUUUAUUAACAGGGACUAAAGGCAUUCUUCACUAUUUAUCAUCGAGUUAAACUGAAGGUGUCGUUUCAAUCUCAGUGUUUUGAAUGACCUUUCUAGUCACAACUGAUGCUCUCACAUAAUGGUCCAGCUAAUAAAUGCUGAAUUAUAGUGGAUGUUCUGUAAAAGGCCUGACAUCCUAAUUGAUGCAUUGAGUUCAUCAUGAUAGAUGUUAGCACCUUAAAUAAAAAAGAGAGAUGUGAUGACUAGGUCACAGUUACUAUUGCAUACUUUAAAGUUAUUUAUGUGGGUAUGGAGUCUUUAUAAAAUGCACAUAAUUUUCAGUACUUUUGCUCAUGUUGUUGCAUAUGUUAACACACAUGACCACACACAUGCACUUAAAAACUAUCAGCCUCUCCAAGUUCAUUAAAAAAUAGAUAUGGGGGAUGGAAAGAAUCCCUAGUCCUCCAGUGGCUGAUGCAGGAUUGUGAUGACUUAAAUAUACUUUACUUGUAAGUAGCAGUACCUAGAAUACAAAAUAUGUGUUUCUCUUUGGUUUAGUAAUUUCCAAUCUUUCAUUUUUGUAUUUCAGUAGUAAUUAAUGUGUCUGUGCUUCUGUUCCCAGGGUUAAAAUGUUUGCUUACUGUUGCACCCUGUUUUCUUGGUUUGUAAGGUUUACGCCCAGGAAUAAAAAUAUCCUGUCCAUUUUUUUUUUUGGACAAAAUGGCAGAACUGUCCUAAAGGAGCUCAGCUGAAUAGAAUCUUUGCACAGGUACAAGUAAAAAAAAAAGACCUCACUCUAAAAUUGAUUUUUGCCAUGUACAGAAUCUGUUCCAAAGCUCCGCUUGGAACACUGAUGGUAAUGAGAUUUCCAUAUGUAAUUCACUUAACCCUUUGGGGAAUUAAUUUCUCUAAGUUGCAAGUGAAAUUCACUGCUCUGUCUUAAAUUUCAAGUAGCUGAACUGUGACAGGACUGUAUAUGUGAAAUCUAUUCUCCAUCCUAAUACUCCUUGGCUGUUACUUCUGGAUUUGUUUGUGCUCAUGCUCUUAUGUCCUAGAAUAUCUGAAGUCAAUCCAAAAAAAAAUCAAAAAAAAAUCAAAGGUCUGCCCUAACUGAAUGACCCAUCAAGCUAGUGUCAUUACUCUCAUUAAUCACUCGUUGAAAUUAUGUAAUUAGCAUCACAUUUAGCACAUUAAUAUCCUAGCCUGAAAGUCCAGGUCUCCAUUUACAAUUGGUUUGCCUUGUGACAGUCUUGGCCUGAGUCCAGAACAGGACCCAAACUCACGGUACUGAAGCCAUAGCAAGACACAUCAACUGCUCGGUUCAUGCUUUGUCUCUAAGAUUGUGGUCUCAUUGCUAUUGUCUGUAUCAGCUUGGACUGGGUCAUCAUAUAAUUUUUUUCAUGGUGCACACUGCACUCCCAGUAUUAUUAUGCUACAUAUGACUUCUGCUGAGAGGAGUGCAUAUUCUUAGCUGUCAGGUGCUUUUGCCAAGUUACCCAGUAAACCAUCAUGACACAAAAGGAACCUCAGUUGUUCAGCAAUUCCUGUAUGAAAUAGUGUUAACUUCGAAUGCUGUAAGUAUAUUAGUUAGACAAAAGACUUCGGAAAAGCAAACAUCUUGUUCUGGUAAUGACUGGCUCCUUUAUGCUUCUAUAGAUGAUUUGCAUGGGUAAGGAUCACUUGCAAAAUUCUUCCAUGUUUUAUAUUACUGACGUAAAAUAUUGAUCAUUACUUUCUUCUACAUGAACAAAUGUUCAAACGUGUGAUGCUCAGCCUCUGUCCUAUCAAUUUACCUAACUUUUGCCUCAAAUAUACACUGCACAGCAG